rnacentral:tRNA from 1 species
AGCGGAGUGGUGUAAUGGCUAACACAUCAGUCCGGUAUACUGAACAUGCUGGUUCGCUCCCAGCCGCCGAAU